UUAUAACAGUAGUUUUAAAUACUCAUUAUAAAACUAUUUUAUUUAAAAAUAUUUACAUUAUUAUUCUGAAUAAAUCCUUUGCCAAUUAUUUGUGGUGUGGCUUUGUUCAUUUUUAAUAACUUUAACAUUGAAGGAAUUAAACUUUCAGUUUCAUUUCUUAAAAAGAUCCACCCAGUAGAGCGUUAAAAUCUCAGCUGUCACGCAAAAGAAGCAUACUGCUUUUGUUCAGUUUGAAGAGAUGGCUCUUUUAGUUAUAUUGUUUGCAGUAGGAGUUUUACGAGCAGUUUUAGAAGCAGUCACAGGAUUUGUAGGACCUCCUGUUGAUCAGUUUUUUGGUGGUUUCAUUCUAUCUGGAAUAAUUGGAUGGUGUAUUUGCAUCCUUUAUGAUCAUGUGCAGCUAUUGCCAGUGGGGGGGUUGCAGUCAGAUUUCAGGUGCAGCAAGAAUCACGAUCAUUGGAAAUGCCCGUGUGGGUUAAAGGGCUAUCCUUAUUACAAUUGGAAGCAUCGUUAGCCUGUUGAUUUUGUAACCAAGGAUUUGAGCUUUAAAUUUGAGCUUCAUUAAAAAAAAUGGGUUCUUCAAUUGAGACAAAUAGUAAUAAUCACAUAGCUGUUUUUCUCAUCAUCUGCUAAAUAGUGGUUGUAGAUUUCCUAAUAACAUAUUUUCUGUGCUGCUGCUCUAUUACUUUGUUAUUUUCAACCCAACGUUGGGUCAAAAGGGACAAAC